rnacentral:rRNA from 1 species
UACGAAGGGGGCUAGCGUUGUUCGGAAUUACUGGGCGUAAAGCGCACGUAGGCGGAUUGCUAAGUCAGGGGUGAAAUCCUGGAGCUCAACUCCAGAACUGCCUUUGAUACUGGCGAUCUUGAGUCCGGGAGAGGUGAGUGGAACUGCGAGUGUAGAGGUGAAAUUCGUAGAUAUUCGCAAGAACACCAGUGGCGAAGGCGGCUCACUGGCCCGGUACUGACGCUGAGGUGCGAAAGCGUGGGGAGCAAACGGG